UGUAGUUAAUAGCUGCAUCAUUUGACGUUAGCGACAGAAGAAAGCACCGGCUAACUCCGUGCCAGCAGCCGCGGUAAUACGGAGGGUGCGAGCGUUAAUCGGAAUUACUGGGCGUAAAGCGCAUGCAGGUGGUUUGUUAAGUCAGAUGUGAAAGCCCGGGGCGUCAACCUCGGAAUUGCAUUUGAAACUGGCAGACUAGAGUACUGUAGAGGGGGGUAGGAAUUUCAGGUGUAGCGGUGAAAUGCGUAGAGAUCUGAAGGAAUACCGGUGGCGAAGGCGGCCCCCUCGGACAGAUACUGACACUCAGAUGCGAAAGCGUGGGGAGCAAACAGGAUUAGAUACCCUGGUAG
rnacentral:rRNA from 1 species